GCCUGGCAUGGUGGCUCAUGCCAGUAAUCCGAGCUACCUGGGAGGCUGAGGUGGGAGGAUCUCUUGAGCCCAGGAGUUUGAAGCUGCAGUGAGCUAUGAUGACACCACUGCACUCCAGCCUGGGCAACAGAGUGAGACCCUAUCUCUA
ensembl:misc_RNA Metazoa_SRP Metazoan signal recognition particle RNA